GGUGACGCAUGUGUGGGGGUGGCAUCGACUGGUAUCAUUGCCCUGCCGUCGUCUGGCGUUGGGUUGCACUUGUUUUAAAAGUGGCAUAUGUAUUAAUAAGGCAAGAUAUCAUGUCCUGGAAGAAGCUAGACAUGUGAAAUUGAAGAAGUAAACUCUUCUUGUCUAAAUCCUUUGUGUGUCUGGGAAUGCAGGACAUUUGACUUUGUUUUCAAAGUCUGGCUCUGUUCAAUCCAUUCAGAAACCCUCAGAGAGCUUUUCACUGUAGCAUCAUGUACAGAAGCUGGCCUCAACAAUGGAUGGUUUCUCAGAGCAUUGGUCUUGCAUCCCCACCGCCUGCCAUCCCAUAUAUGCGUCCUGGAUCUCCAUACCACCGGCUGGCCCCCAGGCCAUAUGGAGAAUUGGAGAUGAUGAACUACCUCUGGCAAAAUGUUCUACGGCCGCGCCGCCGUCCGCCGCCGUCGACCGCCGGCUGGGAGCGACACGACGACUCGGAGUCGGACGGCGGUUACGGCUCGCGGCCGACGACGCCGACGUCGGCCGGCGCGCGCCGCCAGGGCACC
rnacentral:lncRNA from 1 species